rnacentral:lncRNA from 1 species
CUGCUACAGUUCUGAGUCUUUACACCACCACUUCAGGGAGAAGUCAGUAACAUCUGCUUCACUGAGCCACACGUAGACAGGGCUAAAAACCAUCAUCUCCUCUCUGAAUUACAUGGUGGGGGGAUCCAGACCCCUACAGUCAUUUCCCCCAGCCUCCCAUGCUGGCACUGUGUUUGCUUUUCCGCGUUAAAUCCCAAUCCCUAAGUAAGAGCUUUCUAAUCUUUAAAAAUUAUGGAAACGCGCAGAGUGAAGCAACAAAACAGCUCACUCUCCCCACUCUAUUCCCUCCACUUGCCAAGAGGACAAAUUGCUUUUUAAACAUAUCUAUCAGAAGAAGAUUGCGUCCUCCAUGAUUCACCAUAGGCCAAUACCAACGGGUGAGUAAAUGUUGCACCCGGCCCGGUACAUUUUCAGCCAAAAAAAAAAAAAAAAGGAUUGAAACUAAAGCACAUCGAGGACACAUUCUGCAUUAGACCAUGUCAACGUCUACAAACAGUUCCCAGCUUUUCGGAACCCACCCUUCAGAAUCUGACUGUGUCUGCUGUGAAACGCUCUCGGAAUGACUCGCUGAUCGGUCACCGCUGGAAAGAGCAGUUACGUGUCGGGGUUUCUUUCCUUUUGCAAAUAGAAGCCCAGGAAAGAUCCUGAAAGAUUACUAAGCUGAAAUGGUUACACGUUUGACAUCAUUUCUACCUGGCGCUACGCUCCGGUACCCGCGCUGACCAAGGCCGUCUGCAAAGCACUUCUUGGG